AUAUGGUUAAUUUAAUUACUGUGUAAUACUUAUGUGAUCUGUUGUCUCUAACUUACAUUCAUAUAAGCACACCCUUAUUUAACCUAAAAUAUAUUAACACAUGAUUAAGGGAUCUUCAGAAUAUUAAUAAGUCCUUUUGUAUAAAUUAUAUGAUUUAAUUUCAUAAUUCAUUAUGUAUGUUACCCAUGGCCAUGGAAUUCAGACUUACUAAAUGUCAUCAACAUAGAAGAUAUGUAUUGUUCCUAACCAUCUAUAAUCAAUUCUCUAUGAAGUUCAGACUGUCUGCUCUUCCUUUGGAAAUACACAGUUAGUCAACCAACAUAGAAACACACAAACUUGAAGGAUUCUCUAGUGAGGGCUUAUGGAAAUGAUCUAUAUCUACUCUCAGAAUGGUGAAAGACUAUCAGAUUAAGCAAAGACUAACAGAAUAUCCUCUCUUGGAACACUGAAACAAGAAAAACAAACAGGAUGGGGGGAUUUAAGAAGAACAUAGAUAAAUAUGAUUUCCAACCAAUUUAAGUACGAUCAUAGACUGUGGUUUACAGGAUGACAAAGAAAGGACCCAGGAUUGUAUCUCUUACUGUCAGACACUGAGUAUGGAUAAGAUGUAGCUAUUUAUCAGACUGAGAUCUAGUCAAAUCAAGUAUUGAAAAUAUGAUUUCUGAUAGCAUAAGCUCUUUAAAAACUAAUUCUCACGGACCUCAAAGUAUCUGAAUGUGACUUUUAUUUUGACCAAUUCAUAUUGAUGACUGUUGUUAUGUAUGGGAAUUACACAUUUAAACCUUUUAUUUUUCAUCUUAUUUCUAUAACCCCCUAGAAAUUACACAGAUAUUCAGAUGCUGGAUUUAAUGUUAUUAUUUAACUUUCCUGGAAUUGUAAAUAUAUUUUGUUUGUGUAUGUAUCAUGUUUAAUUUUGAAUUUAAAAUUGGUCUCAAUAAGACCCCCAAUAAAGAUGCAAGUGUCCCAUAAUCUGUGGUUUAAUAAUAUCUUGAAUAUCUUUAUCAUACCAUAUUCAUCAUACUAAUUACAUAUAGAAUGGUUGUAGGAAUACACUUUGUUGUUUAGCACACUUUGUCAAGGUCAAAGCAUAAGAUUAUUGAGAUGACUUCUUUGACAAUAAUUUGUAACUUACAAACUUCACAUCAUAAGUACACAGAUGAAGAAUCAAUAAGAUAUUUCUAUAGAUUUUUGGAUCAUUUACUCCUGGGUAAAAGUUAGUUACUAACUGAGAUUACUGAUUUGAGUCCUGUAAUGCAAUAACUUAAACAUUGUGUGAUAACUUAUAGACUUUAUAAAAAUUAGGUGCAAAUUCUUAGGAAAGGAUUGAAAUGUUAAUCAAAUGUACAAUGUUCAAGGGUGUUUAUAUGACUAUUACUAUGUAAUACCUUAGAAUUCUGUAAAAAUUUUAUUAUCACUGCGUAGAUAAAGACUGGUUGGAAUAAUAUAUGUUUUCAAAUAAGGUUUAGGGAAAAAAGUCAAGAAUGUGGAUAUGACUUUUAUUCAAAUGGUGCAUUACAGUAACUCUGGUGAUUUACAUACCUUCAGUCAUAAAUACAUGUAGAUAGGUAUUUGGAAGACUCCUUUAGAUUUUGAAAUUUUUAAUUCAAAAGUAUAGAAUUUAAGUUUGAAAGAUUAAAUGGCAGCAUAUCAUUUGCUUGUGAAUUAAAAAAUAAAUCCAAACAUAUACAUCUUUGGAUGAUAAUUGUAGCAUUUUAUCAAUUCCUGGACUUCGGUCUUGAUAUCAUCCUUUAAUGUCCUUAAAAUUUUAAUGACUGUCUUUUAGUUUUAGUUGAAUUAGUUUCUUUUCUACAUGUGAAAAUUACAUCAUCCAAAGAAGUUCUUCAUCUGCAUGUUAUAUGAAGAAGACAAUUUUCAUUACAGUGAAAGAGAUUGUUUUGUUAAACAUAUUGCAUUGAUGCACAAAUAUACUUUUAGAUUUUUAAUAGCUAGGGUUCAUUUUUGUUACAUGGAAUGAUAAGUUCUGUUGAUUUCAAUUUUUUGUGAACAAAGACAUACUAGUAGAAAAAAAAAUGUACAUGAUGUGUUAGAAAAGCAUGUGUAAACCUGAUGACUUUAUAUUUGCUGAUUAAUUCAAUUAUGAGUUUCAUCUUUGUUUCAAUGUAAACAUUUCUAAGUAGGGCACACAUCAGAAACUCUUAAAAUUCUGACUAUCAGGGUUUAACACAACAAUUCCAAAUGAUUUUUGGACGCUUUUUAUGUAUCAAAAAGACAAAACAGAAUAUCUGUUCACAGAUGUUCCAAAGGAAAACAACCACAAAGAAAAGAUUUGUUAUGUUCUUUAUGUGAUUCAUGUAAAAUGUAUUUUAAAAGUGUAGCAUAACAUUCAUCUUUUGCAUAAAUACUUUUUUUUUU